GGCGGCAUAGCCAAGUGGUAAGGCACAGGUCUGCAAAACCUCUAUUCACCGGUUCAAAUCCGGUUGCCGCCUCCA
rnacentral:tRNA from 2 species